GCGAGGGGAGGGGUUCAGAUUGUUGCUUUCAAGGACAGCUUUGGCCCGGGGAUGUUAAAAAGCGGAACGCCACCGAUGAGAAUUGGCCAAGCGAACCCCUUUCCUUGGAAAGUCUUCAUCGCGGACUCGCAUCUUUCCUGCUUCUUAUCGCUGCUUCGGGCACGAGCGUUUAUUUAAUGGUUUAUUUAAGAUCUAACUGUGCUUUUCUAUCCUUUUGUAGGUGCAGCCAGCUCUCCCUCCUGUUCAUGCUGAGCAAGAAAAACAGGCCCCUCAACCGGAGCGCUCGCGGUCUCUUCAGCCAGAUUUACGAAGGCAGCUGUUCCUAGGAAACCUUUCACCCAUACCUUCCCUGGGGAGUGCAGAACAACCCCAUCGCCUUCAGAGGAGAAAGUGGACUCGAAAGUUGUAAGAAGCACCACGGAAAUACUCCCGCACAUUGAACAAUCUGCUGAGGAAGGAGGGGUAAAUCCUGGCAUGGUUCAGCCAUCCCUUCUCCAAGGACCUCGCCCUGCUUCCAUCGUUCCUGCAGUGCCUUAACUUGGGAGACAGCGAGUGGCAAAGCAGAAGGCUCAGUCACAGAACCACAAAGCAGGACUGAAGUCAGCCUCUGUAUGUGGAUGAGUCAAACCGCCAAAGCAUUUUGGAAACAAUCCAGCAGCCAGCCCUGAGUGGCUCCUCCUUCCUCUGAGCGCAGCUGACCGUCCAUCCCCUUCCAUAUGGUGAUGCCUGCCAGGAAUCAGCGACGCUGUUGGCUCGACGGGGCGCGCGCGUGUGUACGCACACGUUGUUGUCCGGCGUUGGGAAGUCGGGCUGCAAGCUGGGGAACGGCCCCAUUUUUAUCUCUCCAUCUAAACGUCUAUUUAUGUGUCUUGUAAUCGGGCCUGAGAGGCUGCAAAGGGCGGGAGAGGAAGGCUGCUCCUCUGUGCCGCUCUGCUUUUAGGGGAGCGCGGCAAAAGUCUCCCCGUUUCGGCCUCCCCAGGGAGAAGGGAAGCGUGGCCAACGCUCACAAACAGAAAAACUGGCUUGGAGUGGUCUGGGGGGAGGAAAAUCAGGUGAUUGCUCAAAGGGGUGUUAAGGGGAUUUAAAGGAAGGUGCCAAGACUGGGGGGAUGUACAGAUGUGUUAGCUUAAGGUAAACUAUUUGCUAUAUCCCUAUACACAGGAUCUAGUGUGUAUAAAUCAGCAAGAAAAUGUUGGAGAGUGGGGAAUUCUGAUGGGAUCUGAGCUUUUUCCAUGGUGCUUUCCUGCAGGAAUAUGUCCAACCACCUCUGUGUACACUGCCUCUCCCAAGAAUUCAACGAGCAUCCCCGAGUCUGCCAGCCCAGGUACUGUGUCUUUCCAGCUUCUUAUUCCAAGUACCCUGACUGGGGAUAGAGAUUAGCAGGGAAUCAAAUAUAAAUGCCUUUUGGAUAAAAAAACCCCACCCAAACAAUUAAAAAACAAUGUUUGAGGAGAUUGGAAAGAACCCCCGAGGAACGUCUGACACAGAGCGCAAGGAAAUUUGAGUUGGGAAUAGGGGAAGGUAAGAGGUAACCGUGAACCUGCAGCUGUAAAUUCAGUGGUGCUGGGAUCCCAGGGGGCUCCACCUUAUCCCUUUGAGCCCAGAGAAACACAGACAAAUCACAGAAGCAAACGGCAAAAGCCAAGGGGAGGAGUGGGAAGGGAGGGAACGAGCUGCAUUUGAUUAAUUCCAGAGCCAACUGGCACUCACUUGAUGGAAAUGCUAAUUUUCCCCCUGACAUACACCCACUAGUCAUUCCCCUCAUCUCCUCUAAAUGAAGCAGUCUUUUCUUAAACCACAGGUAACACAAGAAUAUCCAGGUUUCCACCCUUCCUCUUCCUCCCUGUCACACCCCCACUUACAGGACCAGCUGAACUAUUUACUGCGUGGAAAUGCUACACAGCUGCUUUUUAUUGCUGUGCUUGGUUAAGAGUCAGCCCUCACUCCAAAGGAACACUUCCUGCCCCGCUGGAAGCAGCCUGGGACAACUCCUGAAUAUCCACACCAGGUCACUGAGCGAUACCUGCAGGUGCCUUUUACACUUUGUGCUCCCAGAGCAGCUCUUGGGGCUGCCUCACACGCAAACACAGGGCAGGCUGCUCCCCAAAAUAAAGCUCUUUAUUACCAGAAACGCAUGCAAGAGGCUACUGUAGAGGCAGAAGCGUUUCCAGCAGCCAGCCUGUAAAUAAAUGUCAUCAGAAGCCCCCAAAGGGCUGGUUUAAACUGUGUGCUUAUUUAUUUACACAAGUAUCUUGCACUGUUUCAGAGAAAUGACCCAUUUGCAAUGCUGCUGCAUCCCCUGGAGAGUGUUGGGCUUCUAAUGAGAUCCAGGACAGAGUGGCUUAAAGGAUUAGGAGCUGAAGUCACCGGGAGUCUGGGGAAGGAAGAAGCCGGCGCUGGAUCAAGACAGGUCCUGGGCUGUGGGGAUGGAAGAGAAGCAGCCAGGGAUGGCUGCAGCUUAAAGCAGGAGGUUUCCCUAGGUCUGGGCAGGCAGAAAACUCCCAGCAGCAGGAGCAGAGGGAGCGGGCAGUGCCGUGGAGUGCCCCGAGCCGUGAGGGCUGACAAGGCUCAUCUGUUCAGUCACUCCUCAGAAAUGAUCAACAUCUUCCUCAGGCUGCUGCUGUGAGCCAGCACCGUGCCUCGUUCAACUCCUCAGGAUCAAUACCUGGAGAGAAGUCAGCUAUUGACCUGUUUUUUGGGCAAAACUGCACGGGAAUUACCAAUCCAUGCACGCUCCAGGAACUCGGGAGAGGUCUUCUCAAUGAACCAACCUUAAGAUACAGUUGGAAUUAUCAAUAGCCUUUCAUCCUUCAAAGCAAAGUUUGUGCUAGGAGGAAAGAAAUGAGAUUAUUUCCACGGUGUCAUCUUGCCUUUUCAGUGGGACACUGCCAGCUCUUCCCCAAAACAAGCAGAGCCCAGCAACACUUGAGUUGCUCUCCCUCUACAAUCCAAAGAAAGCUGCCACUGUAAAACUUAAACAGCUUUGGAGUUACAAGGCUUGCCUUGUUCAACCACAGGUAAGUUGGGAUGAGUCAAAGCUCAAAGAUUUUAAAAGGAAGGAGGAGGAAAAGGAAAAAAAGCCAAAGGAACAAGCACACAGUGAUAGUGGAAAGUGUUUUGCAAUCACUGGCACAAUAAAUGAGCCUUUUCAGUUGGAACAGGCCGCAGGAUGCUGCACUAGUGCUCAAAGUAGCUGGGCUUGUAUGCUCAGGAGAAGAGAGAAGGGAUCUGUUCAAAUCCCCCCCCAAGUUUACAGGAAUAAACCCUGUUCUCCAGAGGGUGUGUUUAAAUGUACUUUGCAUUUUGAUCUCAGAAGAAGCAAAGUUUGCCUAAUAGCCUGAGCAAAGCAUAUUAUUUUAAUAUUGGAAGAUAGUUCAGCUGCCUCUGUAUCUGAUUAUCCCAGUCCCUCCCAUGGGCAUUUACACCAUGCUUAAACUUCCAAACAGAAUCCCAGACUGGUUUGGGUUGGA